rnacentral:lncRNA from 1 species
GGGUAGUAGAACAAUGGGAUUAUGCUGUCACAAAAACCAAAGAAAAAACAUAAUUUCUUAAAUCAUGGUCUGUCACUGAAUCUGGUUAUAAAACCUUAUCUUGCACUAGAAGGAUCUGUAGCUUUUCCAGCUGAGAAUGGGGUUCAGGAUACCGAAUCAACACAAGAAAAGAGAGAAACUGGGGAUGAAGAAAACUCAGCUAAAUUUCCUGUAGGAAGGAGAGAUUUUGACAUAUUCUCAGACCACUUCUACCAAAACAUAAAUCUGUGAUUGUGAUCUCUGAAAGUCAGUCCUUUUAUCUACUCAAUAACUGAUCUGAUAAUGUCAACUUUUGAAAACAGAUAGUUAUGACUCAAGGCUUUGAGAAUGUAAAGAGACCACCUUCACUUGUUGAGAAAUGGUACGAUUUCACGUUAUCAGUGCAGUUCCGUUCUCGGGGGAAAGAAGUGUGAAACUGUCAGGAAGACAGAUGAAAUGAUUUGCCUGAGGCUGUAUCAUCAAACAAGAAAUUCAUAUUCACCUUUCUGGAAUUCUUAGGAUAAUGAUUACAUGUGUUCAAUUGUUAAAAAU